UCGGGAAUAUUGCGGCAAUGGAGGAAACUCUGACGCAGUGACGCCGCGUAUAGGAAGAAGGUUUUCGGAUUGUAAACUAUUGUCGUGAGGGAAGAAAUUGACAGUACCUCAGGAGGAAGCUCCGGCUAACUAUGUGCCAGCAGCCGCGGUAAUACAUAGGGAGCAAGCGUUAUCCGGAUUUAUUGGGUGUAAAGGGUGCGUAGACGGGAAAUUAAGUUAGUUGUGAAAUCCCUUGGCUUAACUGAGGAACUGCAACUAAAACUGGUUUCUUGAGUACUGGAGAGGAAAGUGGAAUUCCUAGUGUAGCGGUGAAAUGCGUAGAUAUUAGGAGGAACACCAGUGGC
rnacentral:rRNA from 1 species